rnacentral:rRNA from 1 species
GGAUGAACGCUAGCGGCAGGCCUAAUACAUGCAAGUCGAGGGGUAAGAGUCAGCUUGCUGACUACACGACCGGCGCACGGGUGCGUAACGCGUAUGCAACCUACCUUUAACAGAGGAAUAGCCCCGAGAAAUCGGGAUUAAUACCACAUAACAUUAUGAUAUGGCAUCAUAUUAUAAUUAAAACUCCGGUGGUUAAAGAUGGGCAUGCGUGACAUUAGCUAGUUGGUGAGGUAACUGCUCACCAAGGCUACGAUGUCUAGGGGUUCUGAGAGGAUGAUCCCCCACACUGGUACUGAGACACGGACCAGACUCCUACGGGAGGCAGCAGUAAGGAAUAUUGCGCAAUGGAGGCAACUCUGACGCAGCCAUGCCGCGUGCAGGAUUGAAGGCCUUAUGGGUCGUAAACUGCUUUUAUUUAGGAAUAAACUUUCGUACGUGUACGAAACUGAAGGUACUAAACGAAUAAGCACCGGCUAACUCCGUGCCAGCAGCCGCGGUAAUACGGAGGGUGCAAGCGUUAUCCGGAUUUAUUGGGUUUAAAGGGUGCGCAGGCGGACCAAUUAGUCAGUGGUGAAAUCCCGAGGCUCAACCUCGGAACUGCCAUUGAUACUGUUGGUCUUGAAUACGGUUGAAGUAGGCGGAAUGUAGCAUGUAGCGGUGAAAUGCAUAGAGAUGCUACAGAACACCGAUCGCGAAGGCAGCUUACUAAACCGAUAUUGACGCUCAGGCACGAAAGCGUGGGGGAGCGAACAGGAUUAGAUACCCUGGUAGUCCACGCCGUAAACUAUGAUCACUCGUUGUUGGCAAUACACAGUCAGUGACCAAGCGAAAGCGAUAAGUGAUCCACCUGGGGAGUACGAUCGCAAGGUUGAAACUCAAAGGAAUUGACGGGGGCCCGCACAAGCGGUGGAGCAUGUGGUUUAAUUCGAUGAUACGCGAGGAACCUUACCUGGGCUCAAAUGUAAGUUGACAGUUUCUGAAAGGGAAUUUUCUUCGGACAAUUUACAAGGUGCUGCAUGGUUGUCGUCAGCUCGUGCCGUGAGGUGUCGGGUUAAGUCCCAUAACGAGCGCAACCCCUACUCUUAGUUGCCAUCAGAUAAUGCUGGGGACUCUAGGAGAACUGCCUACGCAAGUAGAGAGGAAGGUGGGGAUGACGUCAAAUCAGCACGGCCCUUACGUCCAGGGCUACACACGUGCUACAAUGGCCGGUACAGAGGGCAGCCACCUGGUGACAGGGAGCGAAUCUCUAAAGCCGGUCUCAGUUCGGAUCGAAGUCUGCAACCCGACUUCGUGAAGCUGGAAUCGCUAGUAAUCGCGCAUCAGCCAUGGCGCGGUGAAUACGUUCCCGGGCCUUGUACACACCGCC